UACAGAGGUCUCAAGCGUUGUUCGGAUUCAUUGGGCGUAAAGGGCGCGUAGGCGGGCCCGCAAGUCAGGGGUGAAAUCCCACGGCUCAACCGUGGAAGUGCCUUUGAUACUGCGGGUCUGGAGGGAGGUAGGGGCGUGCGGAACUUCCGGUGGAGCGGUGAAAUGCGUAGAUAUCGGAAGGAACACCGGUGGCGAAAGCGGCGCGCUGGACCUCUACUGACGCUGAGGCGCGAAAGCCAGGGGAGCAAACGGG
rnacentral:rRNA from 1 species